GUGGUAGCUCAGUUGGUGAGAGCGUCGGAUUCAUAACCCGGAGGUCGGCGGUUCGAUUCCGCCCC
rnacentral:tRNA from 1 species